UCUGUGGUUUCUGCCUCAAAAUGGCUGCUGCCAACCAGCAAAGCAGAAAUAUUCAAGGAAGUAAGAAAGUUGACAGAUCAGCUUAAUGAAUCUGUUGAGCAUAUGGUGAGGUUUUGGCAUAUUUUUUAAUGUGCGGAAUUUUUGCAUAAAGAGCAUGUGGUUAGCAAGACCUGAGUACAUUUCUAAUUUUUCAGUUGUAUUAAGGCACUAACCUAAGCAUCAUGCAAUACAUUGGUAUUUCAGGCAUAAUAACAGGCAUAUUCCUCUUGGUCAGGGGCAUAGCUGUCAACUUUCAGAUUUGAAAAUAAGGGAUCAGCAGCCUCACCUGUCCCGGGGACAGUCUACGGGAUAUCUAACAAUCCGUGAUAGCAGCGGGGAACAGCGGGGAACGGUGCUGGAAUAAGUGAAUUUCCCGCAAAAAAAGGGAAGGUUGACAGCUAUGGUCAGGGGUCAGCAAACUUUUUCAGCAGGGGGCCAGUCUACUGUCCCUCAGACCUUGUGGGGGGUCGGACUAUAUUUUGAAGGGAAAAAAUGAACGCAAUCCUUUGCCCUGCAAAUAACCCAGCGAUGCAUUUUAAAUAAAAUCACACAUUCUACUCAUGUAAAAACACACUGAUUCCCAGACCGUCCGUGGGCUGCAUUAAGAAGGCAAUUGGGCCAGAUCCGGCCCCUGGGCCUUAGUUUGCCUACCCAUGCUCUUGGUAGUUUGAAUAUUUCCACUGAAAUUUGUCAGCUGGAGCAAAAGAUAUUUGAUUUGCAGAAAAUGGAACUUUGUUUUCAUUUGAGGCUAUCCUUCUCUUUGAGGCUUUGUAUUUAAUUGUGUUGCAAAAUGCACCCACUCACCAAUGGAAGUAUAACAUACCAUUAUGCACUUACUGAUAUGGCUGCAAGGUAGUGGAGGGCUUGCCUCCUUUUCCUUUAAGUCACUUUUUGCUUUUGCCUGCUGGCAGCCAUAAAUUGAGAUAAUAUUCCACAGUGCCAGUAUAUUACUUAGAAGGAUCCCCCCCCCCCCAUCACAAAUGAUGCUGCAAAAAAGGUGGGUGUUCAUUUUUGUGUGUUUUGUACAUGAUAUGUUCUGUCAUUCAAGCUGUAAGGGAGUUAUUCUUAUUGUUCAUCCGCUUCAGUAAAACUGCAAGAUUUUGGGUAGUCUUCACCUGAUUUACUCCUAUAUAAACACUGAUUUUUCUGUUGAAUAAGAUGCUUUCCGUAAUGAAGAAUAAGGCUCUGUAAGGUUUUAGUAUAAUAUGUAAGUGAAAAGCACUCCAGCCAUCAGUUCAGAUAUAUGAGUUUAGACACUGGAACUCAUAUUUAACUGUAGAUUCCUCAGGUAAACGAAGAUAAGGGAGGACAGCAAUAUACACCCGCAGAAAAAGAACAGUAGACUUGGAGGUGGGGAACAGAUUUCAGGUUGAAAAUUCCAGAAUUUAAUACUUCACAGUUCAGUGUUCACUACUAGCACAACCCAUCAUCAACCAAUUGGAAGUUUGAGUUUCGAGGACCAUUGAACACUGAACAUUUGCAAUGUACUGCAAUUACAGGAGCAAUUGUGCUAAAUAACUUUGUGCUGAUAGUGCAUGAACAUGUGCAUUUUUCUCAUCAGCUUUCCAAAUUUCGCAUUUCUUCCUGUCGGAGACGUUGACUGCUCACCAGACUGGGAUACUGAAUGCUUUAGGUCAUGGAGUUAUUGCUUCACUAACUUCAAAAACAUGCCUGAACCCAUUUACUUAUCUUGCUGAAGUGGCAGUAUUUCUAUUUAGUGUUUUCUUUUGACAUUUAACUAUUACAUUUGUAUUUCAUGGAGCAGUGCAGUGCAGAGAUUUGACACUUGAAGAUAUACAUUUAGUGUAAAUUGAGGACUUUUGUGGCUGUAGUCCAUAUUUGCUGCAGUUUAAAUGCAAGUAGAGAUUACUGCCCGCCCGCGUGCCCCACUUCUUUUCUCAAAGUGAUAAAUACCUAUUACUGCUGGACAGCAUUGUAUCACAUCAAGUAAGAUAGCAAUAGUUUUUCAGGGCACAGAAUAUUCAUUUUGAGUUUAGUGCCAUAUAUAUCUUUCCUAAGGAUAUAAGCAUAAAACACUCAACAACUGACUUUUCAUGCACAGAUAUUGGGGAAACAAUUGUGGAGAAAACCACAUAUCGUGGUAAAAGUAUUUAGAAUCUGCACCUAUUAGGCAAUUCAGUCUAUAUACUGGCAAUGAGAAAUGAACUGUGGAAUGGAAAUGUGUGCAUGCAUGUGUGUGUGUGUAUAUAUAUAUUCUGUGUUGGAGGGCCACAUUGGCCAUGACCUUUUCACAGUAGAUGGCAAUUGUGUGACCUUUGUGAAAGGAAAUUGUGGGGUUGCCCCAGUUCCCAAAAGACAGGUGCUUAUAUUCAUCAAAAUCUAAAUUUUCUUUUCUCUUAAACAGAUAGAACACAUGGCAUUUACAUUUUUAUGGGACCAUUAUAAAAAGCUUUAGUGAUAUCAACAAAAUGAUCAAGCAGUUUAAAACUAUAUGCUGAGAACAGGGGAAAGACUUUCUAGCUCUGGAAAUUCAAAAUCCCUUCAUCAAAUAAUAUUCCACUGACCUAGAAUAAUUAGAUGUUAUCCAGGCACUGAAUCCCAAUAAAAGGUUAUUUAUAAAUCCUACUUUGAAUAUAAAAGAUAAUAUAACCUUUUGAAAGAGAUCUUACAAAAUAAUAUAUGUACAGUGAAAUCUAUUUUCUACAGGUACAUAAGGAAGUAUAAGAGUUGUCUGAUAGUAACCCACUUUGGGAAACACUGGUCUUGGAUAUUCCAGCCAACCCUCCUCUUUAACAUUUCUUUCUCUUCUUAUUUCCUGUCUUCCAACUAUAUUUCCCAGCAGGGGGCACCCUAAACGUACUUGACUACAAGCAAGAGACCAGCUUGAUAUUUGAGGGCAUAUCGCUUUAUCACAUUAUUUUGUGGGUGUUACCUACAUUGCAAUAUUGGCAUUCUUGUGAGGUUGGGAGGGUGUCGGUCUGGAUGGUGCCCUGAAUCCCUUCCAGUUAUUGGUGUCUUGUAUCCAAGGAGGGUUAGAAUCCAGUAAAGGAGGUUGCUGAACCAGUCAUACAAGUUUCUAUCUAAGACACUGGUCUUAGCUGACCACUUAAGUGUCCUGAUCAGCAUCUCAGAGAAUGAGCUAGGUUGCAAUACCUACAGCUAAGUAAUGGGGAACCACAGGUCAAAGUGGGGCUGGACUAGACAGUUAUGUGUGAGAGAGCAAAAGGCUAGAAGCUUCAGACAGAGAGACCUGUUUUGCUGUGUGCUAGAUCCAAAGCUGUGACUAAUGGAGAAGCAAUAUCUUUGGGAGUGUUACUGCUAUGAGCCCCUCCAUCCUAUGCUUGGGUUGUAUAUUUGUGUAAAUAAAACCAUAUAUCCUAAAAACAGCACAGCCUCUGCUGACCUUCAUCCUGAGGAAACUAAACCCUUGGUAAGUGCUGGAAGCCCUGUAGUGUCUCCCUGCUUGGAGAGUGGGAUGGUAUGUAAAAGUAUUAUACCAUGUAGGAGCCAGACAUCUUCAACUUAGCUAAAUCCCUUUUUGUUGCCUCUUCUUCCCUGUCACCAUGCCCUUUAACCAUGUUUUCUGUUUUCUUCAUGUUAAUCAAGACCCUUGCAAGAAGGACAAGCCAGUGUUUUUCCCAACAGGAAACUCUAUAUGAGGGUUCUAAGGAACCUGGAGUAGAAACUGGACUUUGGUUCAGGGGCUCCUUACAAGGGCUUGUUUGUUUUGUUUACAGGACUCCUUUCAGAAAAAAACAGAAGAAACUUGCAAGUUUUCUCAGUCUCUCCAAUUUAGCCAAUUUGCUGCAUGGAGCCCUGAAGUCAUGUCAUGGUGAAAUUAAGGAAAUAUUUUUGCUUUACUCUGUCUUCCUCUGGACUUGUAAUUAUUAGCAUAUCACAUCUCCCUCCUGUCUCUACAUUUCUCACUUCCCUAACCUCACUGUCUUCCAACUUCAGUCAUUUGCAUUUGAGCUCCCCACCCCUGCCAGUGCAUUUAAGCUUCCACUAUAAUUCUACAGGUUCUGUAGCACCCGCGCCCACUCCACAUAAGGCAAUAUCACUGCAUCUAUCUCUAUGUCCAUGAUAGGAACUGUUUAAGUGUAAGCUGAUGGUCAAAGUAACACGGGUUGAGUACCCUGUGUAACAUGUAACAACCAACUGCCUUGCUGGGUUCCUUUUUACUAUUAUAUUGGCACUCCAAGCUGCUGACCCAUUUUACCUACUGCCCA